rnacentral:rRNA from 1 species
UACAGGGGGUGCAAACGUUGCUCGGAAUUAUUGGGCGUAAAGCGCUCGCAGGUGGUUCAUUGCGUCGUGCGUGAAAGACCCCGGCUCAACUGGGGAGGGUCGUGCGAAACGGGUGAACUAGAGGCCAGUAGGGGGAUGCGGAAUUCCGGGUGUAGUGGUGGAAUGCGUAGAGAUCCGGAGGAACACCAGCGGCGAAGGCGGCAUCCUGGACUGGUCCUGACACUCAGGAGCGAAAGCGUGGGGAGCGAUCCGG